GAGGCUGAGGUGGCAGGAUCACUUGAGCCAGGGGAGGUUAAGGCUAUAGUGAACCAUGAUUGCCCCACUGCACUCCAGCCUGGGCAACAGAGUGAGACCCUGUUUCAAGGAAACAAACAAACAAAAAAAAAAGCAAGAAAGGAAGGAAGGACAGAAGAAAGGAAGGAAGGAAGGAUGGACGGAUGGAAGGAAGGAAGGACAGAUGGAAG
rnacentral:lncRNA from 10 species